GUCGGGAAGAGUGGACGGGACACAGGAAGCCGGGACGGGAGCUGCACGCGGAGAGCUACAAACGAACAGCGCAGAGACAGGGGGAAGCUACGAGAAACAAAUUGUUUGGUGAAUUGGAGACGUGUGGACUGGUCGUUCAUAUUGCUGGUUCAAGGGCGAGGUGCACCGACUUCGAGUGGCACGGGAUUGGAGCCAGCAGACGGUGACGCGUGUUUGGGAUGAGGAAGGGUGAGAACGCUCGCCCUCCCCAAAGUUAAGUGCUUACUCUCUUAUAUGCGCGAAGAAAUAAGCGCUGUGUUUGUGUAGCGUGUCUCCGUUUCCCGUAUUUUAAAGUUUUAAAUUUAAACCGCCUUAUUCGUGACUUUAAAGGUUUUUUAAAUGAAUUUUUAGCCUUGGUAGCUUAAGUCUAACGAAGCUUGUACUAGUGGAUAGGUUUUUCCUUUACAUUGUUUUGUGGUAGUGUGAUUUAUUAUUUGUUUGUUUGAUAGAUUGGAGAGUGCAUUAUUAAUGAGUUAUUUUGCAUAUGAUUUGAGUAUAUUUGCGUGUUAUAAAACUGAUCCGAUUAGUAUAGGCUUUUAUGUAGACUCAGGCUUCUAUGUGUGUAUGUUAGUCCCUGACCUAAGUCGUAGUGUAAGGUGGUAGUUUCCUCUCUGUGUCGUCAUUAGGAACGUAAAUGUGUUCCCUUCUUUCUCUUUUCUUUGUAGUGGCGGUUUUUAUGGAAUAAAUUGGACUGAGUCUGUCGUGACGUGCAAUAGGACUUUUGGACAAGCCCAUCUUUUCCUACUCCCCCCCACUGGCAGUUCUAAGACUCAAGGGACCAUGAUGAACUUGAUGUUUUAAGUGUUUUGCUUCUGUGGACAGAGAAACAGACGUUUUAUGAGUUUUUGCAACCAUCUUUAAGAAUGGAAAAGAAAAGUUCAAGGAAGAUAUAUUUUGUACAUUUACUGUUAAACUGUUUGUAAUCUUGUUUUAAUGUAUUACUUGUCACAAAAAAAAUGUUAUUUAAACAUUUGUAAUAUUAUACAGUAAAAUAAAAUGGCUACGUUUGUCUUUA